rnacentral:sRNA from 1 species
GCCAGGAGUGGUGAUGCACGCCUGUAAUCCCAGUCACUCAGGAGGCUGAGGUGGGAGGAUUGCAAGUUCAAGGCCAGCCUCAGAAACUUAAGGAAACCCUCAGCAAUUUAGUGAGACCAUGUCUCAA